rnacentral:rRNA from 1 species
UGUUACAAUGGCAGGUACAGAGGGAUGCUACCGGGCGACCGGAUGCGGAUCUCGAAAGCCUGUCCCAGUUCGGACUGGAGUCUGCAACCCGACUCCACGAAGUUGGAUUCGCUAGUAAUCGCGCAUCAGCCAUGGCGCGGUGAAUACGUUCCCGGGCCUUGUACACACCGCCCGUCAAGCCAUGGGGGCCGGGGGCGCCUGAAGUCCGGGACCGCGAGGACCGGCCUAGGGCGAAACAGGUAACUGGGGCUAAGUCGUAACAAGGUACC